rnacentral:misc_RNA from 1 species
GAUGAAGAACGUAGCGAAAUGCGAUAAGUAGUGUGAAUUGCAGAAUUCAGUGAAUCAUCGAAUGUUUGAACGCUCAUUGCGACCCUUGGUAUUCCAUGGGGCAUGCCUGUUCGAGCGUCAUUUGUACCUUCAAGCUUUGCUUGGUGUUGGGUGUUUGUCUCGCCUUUGCGUGUAGACUCGCCUUAAAAUAAUUGGCAGCCGGCGUAUUGAUUUCGGAGCGCAGUACAUCUCGCGCUUUGCACUCAUAACGACAGCGUCCAAAAGUACAUUUUACACUCUUGACCUCGGAUCAGGUAGGGAUACCCGCUGAACUUAAGCAUAUCAAUAAGCGGAGGA